rnacentral:rRNA from 1 species
AGCGAACGCUGGCGGCAGGCCUAACACAUGCAAGUCGAACGGACCCUUCGGGGUUAGUGGCGGACGGGCGAGUAACACGUGGGAACGUGCCUUUAGGUUCGGAAUAGCUCCUGGAAACGGGUGGUAAUGCCGAAUGUGCCCUUCGGGGGAAAGAUUUAUCGCCUUUAGAGCGGCCCGCGUCUGAUUAGCUAGUUGGUGGUGUAACGGACCACCAAGGCGACGAUCAGUAGCUGGUCUGAGAGGAUGAUCAGCCACAUUGGAACUGAGACACGGCCCAAACUCCUACGGGAGGCAGCAGUGGGGAAUCUUGCGCAAUGGGCGAAAGCCUGACGCAGCCAUGCCGCGUGAAUGAUGAAGGUCUUAGGAUUGUAAAAUUCUUUCACCGGGGACGAUAAUGACGGUACCCGGAGAAGAAGCCCCGGCUAACUUCGUGCCAGCAGCCGCGGUAAUAC